UAUUGUUUUGCUGAUUUGAUUCUUUUGAUAUGUGUUUCAGUUUUGUAGAACGUGGGAGGUUCCAUCGACAAAGCUUUCGGACGAAGAUGGUUUUGCCGAGAACAGAACGAGGUUUGGAAAGGUUACAAUGAGAUGUGGGCAUACGAUCAUCAAAGCGUGUUUGUUUCAUCGUACAAAAAAAAUCUGUUUUGAAGCUCACGAAAAAACAGAGGUUGCUCGCUCUAAUGUCAUUAUCGUGCAAGUUAUCGUCUCCGGUGGCUCUCUAAAUCGAGAUCGAUGUCGAGAUUGCAAAGCUUGCCAUGGAUGGAAGAUGAGCUUUCGGGAGUGUGUUGAAGUAUAGAAGAAAAGCUUCAAACUUGCAAGUGAUGGCUUCAGGAAAGACACCUGGACUGACUCAGGAAGCUAAUGGGGUUGCAAUUAAUAGACAAAAUGACAAUGAUGUAUUUGACGACAUGAAACAGCGGUUCCUCGCCUUCAAGAAGCAUAAGUACUUUUGCUUUUGCUUUUUCAAUGGUUUAUAAAUUACUUCAAGAAGCGUAAGUAGCAGAACCAAUUUCUUCAGUCUUUUGCUUUUUCAAUGGUUUAUAAAUUACUUUUUGCCUUUCUGUUUCUCCCCACCUUAUGAUAUACUCUUGAGCAGGGAUAACUUAGAACACUACAAAAAUUUGGCGGAUGCUCAAGCUCCGAAGUUUCUGGUGAUCGCUUGUGCAGACUCUAGGGUUUGUCCUUCUACUGUCCUGGGAUUCCAACCGGGUGAUGCAUUCACUGUUCGCAACAUUGCAAAUUUAGUACCUUCAUAUGAGUCGGGACCUACUGAAACCAAAGCUGCUCUAGAGUUCUCUGUGAAUACUCUUAAUAAAGAAAGUGUAUUGACCGUCCAAUAGCAAGAAAUUCAAUAUCAUAGAAGGUAUGCAGAUAUAUAAAAUACGUUUAGCUCGAUAUUUGAGGCUUAUACAUUGGCAUGAUCAAAAUAGAAAUUUGGUUUCAAUAGUUUAUUUUUGUUUUUAAUUUAAAAUUUAUUGUAUAUAUCUCUCAUGAAUGUGGCCAAACAAAUAUUGGUUUCAAUAGUUAACUGUGCUUUUUCUUUCUAGCCAGAUUAAGAUAAAUGCUUCGACUCUUGGAAGUAUGCAAACACUUGAUGUUGGAUGCAGGACUACGUUUUAUGUUUUCUACACAUAUAUGGCAGAAUAUAUUGAGUUCAAGUUUUCAAACAUAGAACCGAGAAAUCAGAAAAGCAAAACUUUUAUAUUUUUAAGCCGAAUUUCAUAUUCAUCGUCCUCUACUACAUGAGCAGUGUUGGUAAUGUUUAGAUUUCAUGUUGUACUUAUGAAUUGGUGCAGGAUUUGGAUGAACUGAAUAGUGGUAGAGAGAUGGUUUACGAGAGAAUCCAAACUCACUUAACUUGAUCGAAGUCAUAUCAAGAUACUGAAUGUGGUGCUGUUAAUGCUUCUAAUGGCCCCAUUAAUACACAUGUCUAUGGUGGAGGAUGGGCAAACUUGGAUUAUAAUCAUCACUACUCAUUUGCGCCUUGCAACUUCUUGCAUAGAC